UACGGAGGGUGCAAGCGUUGUCCGGAUUUAUUGGGUUUAAAGGGUGCGUAGGCGGUUAAUUAAGUCAGUGGUGAAAUCCUGGAGCUCAACUUCAGAACUGCCAUUGAUACUGGUUGACUUGAGUACAGACGAGGUUGGCGGAAUUGAUGGUGUAGCGGUGAAAUGCAUAGAUACCAUCAAGAACACCGAUUGCGAAGGCAGCUAACUAGGCUGUAAACUGACGCUGAGGCACGAAAAGUGUGGGGGAUCAAAACAGG
rnacentral:rRNA from 1 species